UCAGGUUUUCUCGGGACUCCUGACGACGUUUUGAGACAUCUCCUACAACUACAGCACCAGAAUUGUGCUGCUGAAGCAAGUCCGUUUUUUUGAAUUUUUUUUUUGUCUGGACUCCUGAUGACGUUUUGAGACAUCUCCUACAACUACAGCACCAGAAUUGUGCUGCUGAAGCAAGUCCGUUUUUUUGAAAUUUUUGUUUUGUCGGGACUCCUGAUGACGUUUUGAGACAUCUCCUACUAAUACAGGCCCAGAAUUGUGCUGCUGAGGCAAGUCCGUUUUUUUUAAAUUUUUUGUAAGGGUCCCCCCUUACGACAUUUUAGCAAAAUUAUUUUUACGUAAAAUAUGCAUUUUCUUCCAUUUUCAGGUUUUAUCGGGACUCCUGAUGACAGAAUUGUGCUGCUGAAGCAAGUCCGUUUUUUUUGAAUUUUUUGUAAGGGUCCCCCUUUACGACA